AUAUGAUUGGUUCAUCUAUUUCAAACUAUCGAAUCAAAAUGGGAUCAUCGAUUUCCAUUAAAGCUGUAUGUGGACCCAACUGUAUUUGUACUUGACUAGCAAGGAAAAUAUAUGCCUUACCUAUUUAACUUUGGAUCGACUUUGAGACUAUAUACUAAAAUUAUUAAUACACGCAUCCAAUCUAUUUGAGCAAGUCUGGAUAGUGACUAUCUAUAUACUACUCACUUAAGAUUUUUUUUUUUUUUGAGAGAAAGGUAGCAUGCUAUCCGCUUCGUUUUUUUCAUUUAAAAAUAAAUAAACUUAGCUAGAAAUGUGAAUCAAGUAGGAUUCGAACUUGGGUCUCGAUCGAGUACCAACCACCAAGCCCUUUUGCCACUUACGCCAGGGACGGUCGGUUUUAUAUACUUUAUUAAUUAAACAAAUUAUGGACAAAUCAUAAAUCUCUUACUAUAAAAAAAAAACUCGUGUUUUGAUGAGUUGCAUCUGAUCCAAUACAAUUUGUUUAAAAGAAAGAAUAAAAUAUUAUAAUAGAAGAAAGGCAUAUAACUUUUCAUAGGCACAAGAUCAUGGAAAAACUAUCGUACUCCACAAAAUGUACAAAAUGGCAUCAUUAAGCAGUAUAUACUAAGAUAUCUUUGAAAUUGAUUCGUCAACUUCAAAUUUUUUUUAUUUACUAUGGAAUAUUUCAUUGGGUUUGGAUUCUGGCCCGGGUCUGGGUCCGGAUUUGAAAACUAUUCUAAAUCCUACCCAUUAAAAGGUCAGGUUCGGAUUAGGUUCAAAUCGGGUAGGGGUAUAAAGUAUCCGGAUCCAUACCCGAAAUUUUAAUGAGUGAUUUUUUUAUCCGCAUAUUAGCCAUUUUUUAUUGUGUCCAGUUUAGAACUCGGUAGAGUCCGGGUAUGGUUCAGAUCGAAUAUGGAAUAUCGGAUAUUUUGAACAGCUUUAAUUUACAAGAAUCAAAUUUCAAUUCCUAUUCCGCUCUAACGGGAACGACCAAAUUCAGUUUUGGUCCAAUCCAGCUUUAAAUUUCGGAUUGGCGCAUUCCAAAAUAAACAAUCAAAAUAUCUUUCUCACAAACACGUUUCCUUCCUUUACUUCAUAGCUCUUCUCCCUUAAUUAAAAUUCUCUCUGAAAAUUCUAUAUUUUUAUUCCGAUUUUUAUUGCAAUAGUGAGUCAAGCAUUUUUUGAAUGCCCCGUCAUUUUAGUUUUCAUUCUUAUUCCAAACCAUGAAUCAAGCAUGCUUUUAUUAUUGUCAAUAGAAUGGUCAGCGGCAUUUGUGGCCACGUGGAAAUGCCUCACCAAUUGGGUUCACUUGGAUGAUAGAAAAAUUCUAGAAUGCCUCAAUUAUAUUACUGAAAGUGACAUUCCCAGCCAAUAGGACUGUCCUUCUUCAGUUCAACCAGUCCAUCGUUGUUAAUAGAAAAAUAAUUUUGUUGUACUUUUUCUUUCGAGAAGAGGUAUUACUGAUAAAUUAAUAAUGUGGUGCAAGUGUGACACUGUAGACUCCUUUGGAUGAUGAGCUUUUCUACACGGUUCCACAAAGAGUACCCAAAAGUGCAACCUAAGAUAUCGUUUGGUUCGGAGAUAAGUAAAAUGUGGCUAUUCCAGAGAUAUAUAUAAAUUGAGUUAUAAGCGGGGAUUAAAUCAAUUUUGCGUUUGGAUGAAAAUUGAGUUACUUCUGGGAAUAAGAAAAAUAACAUUUGAUUAGGUAAGAUGGAAUACGAAGGAUAGUAAAUUUUUAUAAAUAAAAAAUAAUGAUAUUACUCUCUUAUUAUAUCAAAAAAUGUGACAAUGACGUCACAUCAUAUAUGUUUCCAACCAAUUAAAUUCGCCUUAAAAUUUACUCAUCCCAUCGUAUUUUU
rnacentral:lncRNA from 1 species